CACAAACCUCUCUGCAGAAUGCUUGGGGGAAAUCAGCUGCGGGGGGCGCACAGAACCCACUGAUCAGAGUCAUCCCCAGAGAUUGAUGCUUACGGAGAUGAAAAGCCCUCAACCAUUGUCACCAGGAUCAGAGUAUUGAGGAAACUCAGGGAUACCUGCACCCUCCAGUGUGUCAUGUGGAGACUCACCUGGGAAUGCAAGUGGCCAACAGUAGUGAAGAGGAUGAGCUUGUGUGGUCAAAAUGGGAUGUGGAUGUGAAAUUUAUCCUGUGCUGUGCAAAGUACCACAGAGUGAGUCACCUUCCUCACCAGUAGUGUUAGAAAGAGGCUGUGAAAGUUGUCAGAAU
ensembl:lncRNA novel transcript